AUGAGACUGGCGCACGGGUGAGUAACACGUAUGUAAUCUGCCUUCAGGAGGGGGAUAACUUCGGGAAACCGGAGCUAAUACCGCAUAAUGCAGGCCGGGGCCGCAUGGCCACAGUUGUUAAAGAUUUUAUUGCCUGGAGAUGAACAUGCGUCGCAUUAGCUAGUGGCGGGUAACGGCCCACCAAGGCGAUGAUGCGUAGCUGGUCUGAGGGGAUGACCAGCCACACUGGCACUGAGACACGGGCCAGACUCC
rnacentral:rRNA from 1 species